rnacentral:rRNA from 1 species
CGUAGGUAACCUGCCUGGUAGCGGGGGAUAACUAUUGGAAACGAUAGCUAAUACCGCAUAACAGUAGAUAUUGCAUGAUAUCUGCUUGAAAGGGGCAAUUGCUCCACUACCAGAUGGACCUGCGUUGUAUUAGCUAGUUGGUGAGGUAACGGCUCACCAAGGCGACGAUACAUAGCCGACCUGAGAGGGUGAUCGGCCACACUGGGACUGAGGCACGGCCCAG